rnacentral:rRNA from 1 species
AACAAGUACAGUAGUAACUGGCUGUACCUUGACGGUACCUUAUUAGAAAGCCACGGCUAACUACGUGCCAGCAGCCGCGGUAAUACGUAGGUGGCAAGCGUUGUCCGGAAUUAUUGGGCGUAAAGCGCGCGCAGGCGGUCCUUUAAGUCUGAUGUGAAAGCCCACGGCUCAACCGUGGAGGGUCAUUGGAAACUGGGGGACUUGAGUGCAGAAGAGGAAAGUGGAAUUCCAAGUGUAGCGGUGAAAUGCGUAGAGAUUUGGAGGAACACCAGUGGCGAAGGCGACUUUCUGGUCUGUAACUGACGCUGAGGCGCGAAAGCGUGGGGAGCAAACAGGAUUAGAUACCCUGGUAGUCCACGCCGUAAACGAUGAGUGCUAAUUGUUAGGGG